rnacentral:rRNA from 1 species
GAGCGAACGCUGGCGGCGUGGCUUAGGCAUGCAAGUUGAGCGAGAACGCGGACUUCGGUCCGUUAGUACAGCGGCGAAAGGGUGAGUAAUAUAUCGACAAUCUGCCUUGGAGACCGGGACAACGGCUGGAAACGGCCGCUAAUACCGGAUAGCCCCGUAGAAGGACAUCCUUCAACGGGUAAAAAGUGGGGACCUUCGGGCCUUCUGCUUCAAGAGGAGUCGAUAUCCUAUCAGCUAGUUGGCGGGGUAAUGGCCCACCAAGGCAACGACGGGUAGCCGGACUGAGAGGUUGACCGGUCACACUGGGACUGAGACACUGCCCAGACUCCUACGGGAGGCUGCAGUCGAGAAUCUUCCGCAAUGGGCGAAAGCCUGACGGAGCGACGCCGCGUGUAGGACGAAGGCCCUAGGGUUGUAAACUACUGUCGCGAAUUAUGAACCCCUUGUCGUUAAUAGCGGCAAGGCUGACGUAAGUUUGAAAGGAAGCACCGGCUAACUCUGUGCCAGCAGCCGCGGUAAUACAGAGGGUGCAAACGUUGUUCGGAAUCACUGGGCAUAAAGCGUGCGUAGGCGGUUGUGUAAGUGUGAAGUGAAAGCCCACGGCUUACCCGUGGAACUGCUUUGCAUACUGCACAACUCGAGGAUGGGAGGGGAGAGUGGAACUUCUGGUGGAGCGGUGAAAUGCGUAGAGAUCAGAAGGAACACCGAGCGGCGAAAGCGACUCUCUGGUCCGGUACUGACGCUGAGGCGCGAAAGCUAGGGGAGCGAACGGGAUUAGAUACCCCGGUAGUCCUAGCCCUAAACGAUGAGCACUAGGUAGUGGUGGUUCCGAAUCAUCACUGCUGUAGCUAAUGUGUUAAGUGCUCCGCCUGGGGAGUAUGGUCGCAAGGCUAAAACUCAAAGGAAUUGACGGGGGCUCACACAACCGGUGGAGGAUGUUGCUUAAUUCGAAGCAACGCGAAGAACCUUACCUAGCCUUGACAUGCUAGUGGUAGGAACCUGAAAGGGUAACGACCCUCUUUGAGGGAGCUAGCACAGGUGUUGCAUGGCUGUCGUCAGCUCGUCCCGUGAGGUGUUGGGUUAAGUCCCGUAACGAGCGAAACCCUUGCCUUUAUUUGCCAGCGGGUAAUGCCGGGGACUAUAGAGGGACUGCCGGUGUCAAACCGGAGGAAGGUGGGGAUGACGUCAAGUCAUCAUGGCCCUUACGUCCAGGGCUGCAAACGUCCUACAAUGGUCGGUACAAAGGGUUGCCAACCCGCGAGGGGGAGCUAAUCCCAUAAAGCCGGCCCCAGUUCGGAUUGCAGGCUGAAAUUCGCCUGCAUGAAGUUGGAAUCGCUAGUAAUCGCGGAUCAGCUACGCCGCGGUGAAUAUGUUCCUGAGCCUUGUACUCACCGC